rnacentral:rRNA from 1 species
AACGAACGCUGGCGGCAGGCUUAAUACAUGCAAGUCGAACGCCCCUUUCGGGGGGAGUGGCAGACGGGUGAGUAACGCGUGGGAACGUGCCCAAAGGUAGGGAACAACUCCGGGAAACUGGAGUUAAUACCCUAAGUGCCCGAGAGGGGAAAGAUUUAUCGCCUUUGGAUCGGCCCGCGUUGGAUUAGCUAGUUGGUGGGGUAAAAGCCUACCAAGGCGACGAUCCAUAGCUGUUCUGAGAGGAAGAUCAGCCACACUGGGACUGAGACACGGCCCAGACUCCUACGGGAGGCAGCAGUAGGGAAUCUUGGACAAUGGGCGCAAGCCUGAUCCAGCCAUGCCGCGUGAGUGAUGAAGGCCUUAGGGUUGUAAAACUCUUUCGCAGGUGACGAUAAUGACGGUAACCUGAGAAGAAGCCCCGGCUAACUUCGUGCCAGCCGCCGCCGUAA